CGGGGCAACCUGGCGGCGAGUGGCGAACGGGUGAGUAAUAUAUCGGAACGUACCCUGGAGUGGGGGAUAACGUAGCGAAAGUUACGCUAAUACCGCAUACGAUCUAAGGAUGAAAGUGGGGGAUUCGCAAGAACCUCAUGCUCCUGGAGCGGCCGAUAUCUGAUUAGCUAGUUGGUAGGGUAAAAGCCUACCAAGGCAUCGAUCAGUAGCUGGUCUGAGAGGACGACCAGCCACACUGGAACUGAGACACGGUCCAGACUCCUACGGGAGGCAGCAGUGGGGAAUUUUGGACAAUGGGCGCAAGCCUGAUCCAGCAAUGCCGCGUGAGUGAAGAAGGCCUUCGGGUUGUAAAGCUCUUUUGUCAGGGAAGAAACGGGGCUUUCUAAUACAGAGCGCUAAUGACGGUACCUGAAGAAUAAGCACCGGCUAACUACGUGCCAGCAGCCGCGGUAAUACGUAGGGUGCAAGCGUUAAUCGGAAUUACUGGGCGUAAAGCGUGCGCAGGCGGUUUUGUAAGACUGUCGUGAAAUCCCCGGGCUCAACCUGGGAAUGGCGAUGGUGACUGCAAGGCUAGAGUUUGGCAGAGGGGGGUAGAAUUCCACGUGUAGCAGUGAAAUGCGUAGAUAUGUGGAGGAACACCGAUGGCGAAGGCAGCCCCCUGGGUCAAAACUGACGCUCAUGCACGAAAGCGUGGGGAGCAAACAGGAUUAGAUACCCUGGUAGUCCACGCCCUAAACGAUGUCUACUAGUUGUCGGGUUUUAAUUAACUUGGUAACGCAGCUAACGCGUGAAGUAGACCGCCUGGGGAGUACGGUCGCAAGAUUAAAACUCAAAGGAAUUGACGGGGACCCGCACAAGCGGUGGAUGAUGUGGAUUAAUUCGAUGCAACGCGAAAAACCUUACCUACCCUUGACAUGGCAGAAAUCCCGGAGAGAUUCGGGAGUGCUCGAAAGAGAAUCUGCACACAGGUGCUGCAUGGCUGUCGUCAGCUCGUGUCGUGAGAUGUUGGGUUAAGUCCCGCAACGAGCGCAACCCUUGUCAUUAGUUGCUACGAAAGAGCACUCUAAUGAGACUGCCGGUGACAAACCGGAGGAAGGUGGGGAUGACGUCAAGUCCUCAUGGCCCUUAUGGGUAGGGCUUCACACGUCAUACAAUGGUACAUACAGAGGGCCGCCAACCCGCGAGGGGGAGCUAAUCCCAGAAAGUGUAUCGUAGUCCGGAUUGUAGUUUGCAACUCGACUGCAUGAAGUUGGAAUCGCUAGUAAUCGCGGAUCAGCAUGUCGCGGUGAAUACGUUCCCGGGUCUUGUACACACCGCCCGUCACACCAUGGGAGCGGGUUUUACCAGAAGUAGGUAG
rnacentral:rRNA from 1 species